rnacentral:rRNA from 1 species
UGUUUUCAUUAAUCAAGAACGAAAGUUAGAGGUUCGAAGGCGAUCAGAUACCGCCCUAGUUCUAACCAUAAACGAUGCCAACCAGCGAUCCGCCUGAGUUCCUCAAAUGACUCGGCGGGCAGCUUCCGGGAAACCAAAGUGUUUGGGUUCCGGGGGAAGUAUGGUUGCAAAGCUGAAACUUAAAGGAAUUGACGGAAGGGCACCACCAGGAGUGGAGCCUGCGGCUUAAUUUGACUCAACACGGGAAAACUUACCCGGCCCGGACACUGGAAGGAUUGACAGAUUAAGAGCUCUUUCUUGAUUCAGUGGGUGGUGGUGCAUGGC